rnacentral:rRNA from 1 species
UACGGAGGGUGCAAGCAUUGAUCGGAAUUACUGGGCGUAAAGGGCGCGCAGGCGGUAAGGAAAGACAGAUGUGAAAUUCCGGGGCUCAACCCCGGAGCUGCAUUUUAAACUUCCUGGCUAGAGUUCAGUUAGGGAAAACGGAAUUCCACGUGUAGCGGUGAAAUGCGUAGAUAUGUGGAAGAACACCAGUGGUGAAGACGGUUUUCUGGGCUGAUACUGACGCUGAUGCGCGAAAGCAAUGGGAACAAGCAGG